GGUGAAACUCAACCAACAUCCGAAACGUUUUAAAAAAUGCUAUUUGAGUCACAACGAGGAUCAUCGUUUGACAUCCAUGGAGCCUGAAGCGUGGAAACUUGAGCAAAAAGGGUUAACAUUUCAAAUUGUUGGAUUAGCCUAGCUAUACGCUGCUGUACUUUGGAUCAUCAUCGUGUUUCUGUUUUGUUAAUUCUAAUAAAAAUUGACUUGCAUGUCAUCGACUCCUCUGUAAA